rnacentral:sRNA from 1 species
UAUCUCUCCGUACGGGGAAGGAUGAGAAGCUUCGACUAAGGUUCGAUUCGAGCGAAAGCGAGAAAGCGUUGCCGCAGGCAACGACCCGAAGGGCGAAGCG